GACGAACGCUGGCGGCGUGCCUAAUACAUGCAAGUAGAACGCUGAAGGAGGAGCUUGCUUCUCUAGAUGAGUUGCGAACGGGUGAGUAACGCGUAGGUAACCUGCCUGGUAGCGGGGGAUAACUAUUGGAAACGAUAGCUAAUACCGCAUAACAGUAGAUAUCGCAUGAUAUCUACUUGAAAGGUGCAAUUGCAUCACUACCAGAUGGACCUGCGUUGUAUUAGCUAGUUGGUGAGGUAACGGCUCACCAAGGCGACGAUACAUAGCCGACCUGAGAGGGUGAUCGACCACACUGGGACUGAGACACGGCCCAGACUCCUACGGGAGGCAGCAGUAGGGAAUCUUCGGCAAUGGACGGAAGUCUGACCGAGCAACGCCGCGUGAGUGAAGAAGGUUUUCGGAUCGUAAAGCUCUGUUGUAAGAGAAGAACGAGUGUGAGAGUGGAAAGUUCACACUGUGACGGUAUCUUACCAGAAAGGGACGGCUAACUACGUG
rnacentral:rRNA from 1 species